CCUGUAUUAUUUUAUUCCCUGAGUUCUAUUCUUCAGUAGGAAUGAAUAACAGAAAUAACAAGAACUUGGGAAUCAAUCCCUACUUGGAUUUACAUCUAAGCCCCACUCAUGUGAGCUGCGGCAAGCUGGUUAGCCUCUGUGAAUUUUAGUAUUUUCAACUGUUAGAAAGAGGUAGGAAGAGCUAGCCCACCUUCCCUCUGGCAAGGUUACAUAAAAAUGCCUACCACAUUUUCUUUUCUUUUCUCUUUUCCAUAACCUACACAGCUUGACAUGUAGUACAAGAAUUUAGUGUCCCCUAUCCCCAAACAGGAGCCUGCAGUUAGAUAGUGAGGAUUUGAUGAACUGAAAAGGGGCCAGGAAAAUGAUGGCAAUGUUGAUGUUGAUAUUGAUGAUGAUGAUGAUGAUGAUGAUGAUGAUAAUGACGAUGAUGACAAUAGGCGAGUCAUUGAGGACAACCAUUUUUUACACCCUUUAUCCAUAAGGCACUGACAGCUCAUUGAACAGGGCUUAUGCUGAGCUGAUGGGGCAUGCUGAACCAGCUGUCUUUCUAAAGGAGAGUUUAUCCAUUCAGAAAAUGUGAUGGGCCCUCAAGGAGCUACAAGCAUCUCUACUUUUAGAGAAGAACUUGAGAAAACACGUGGCAUAGCAAAUAUCUGAAAGACUAAAACUGCUCAGGCCUUGUUUACUUAAGUCAGUACGGAGUCAGCAGCCUCUAGGGAGGCAGCAAGGCAAAAGGGCAAGAUCGCUGGGGCUGGAUUCUGAAAAACUGGAUGAACUCAGAGCAAGGUAGAGGUCAUUCAGUCCAGCCUCCUCCCCUGUGUCUCUGAUAGAUACCAAGCAAGCCCUGUCUUGCCUACUGUUUCUGAUUGAGACCCUGCCUCACCCCACUCACCAUGCUGUGAAUGAUGCUGAGUCUGAACCUGUGCUGUGCAAUAUGGUAGCUAACAUCUUCACAUGAACACAUGAAAUGCGGCCAGUGUAACUGAGAAGACGACUUGUAAAUUUCACUUAAUUUUAAAUAGUUCAAACUUAAAUUUAAAAACUUAUAUUUAAUUCCACUUUUGGACACUUCUCAAAUAUAUUUGGAACAACUUGUUUAAGUGAGCUUAUUUUUCCAACUGUAAAUUUCAUGAAAUCUAAAUACAGAUGAAGUAUUUCUGAGGAAAACAUAACAUUCAUAUUGAAAUGUGCUGUUAGCGUAAAAUGCACAUUGGAUUUUGACGACUUAGUAUAAAAAUGUAAAAUAUCUUAUUCAUGCUUAAUAUUCAUUAAAUAUCAAAAUUAUAAUGUUUCCUGUAUACUGAGCUAAAUAAAAUAUGUUGUUAAAUUAUUUUAGCCUUUUUUUCACUUUUUUAAUGUGGCAAGUAGAAAAUUUAAAAUUACAUAUAUGGCUCCUAUUGCUUUUCCAUUGAACAGCGCUGGUCUAUAUAAUGCAGAAUUGGACGUGAAAUUUCAGAUAUUGUCAGACCACUAAAAAUGUGCUAGGAGUAUCCUAUCCUUUGUAAUGGAUUAGUUGGGUCUAACAUGUCCCAGGCUUUAGAGCCAUGAACUGAAUUUCAAUCCAGUUUCUACUAAUUUAGAUUUCAUCAACCCGUUCUUAGCAUCUGAGGUCUUCCUGAAUCUGGAUGAAAUAUUUGAAAGUAUUCACUGUCCCUUUUAUCUUUAUGUCCUCUGAAAAUUUGAUAAAUAUUCCUAGUUGUUCAAAUGACAAAAUGCUGUGUAACUCAUCUGGGAGGGCUUCAAAGAUUUGUGAAUUCCACAGCACACUCCAACAUCCCAUCAUUUGUAAAAGUAAAGAUGUCUCCUUUCACAGUGCCCAUCGAAGGCACUCAUCUGUACUUUACAUGUUAAUUUCACAGCCCUCACAUAAACUUGGCUACCUCAGAGUCCGGGGCUGUGCCCACUACUUCCUGUCUACAUGCCCACAAUGCAGAGAAUAAUCAAAUGCUGUUGACUGAACUUCUGCCAGCAAAAUUAUUGCCCAGGAAGCAUGAAAUGACUACAUUUACCCUUUCAUGAUUAUCUUUGUUCAGCAAAAUUUACUCACUUUAGUUUACUGGGCAGAUGGCUGGAUGUACUACUGGAGAUAUAUUUUGGGGAUGACCAACCACUUGGAGUAAUAGGGGAUCAGCCCAAUCCCAUUCUGGGGUUGGGGUUGGGGUCUUUGGUAAUACCACUGGAAAACGGGCAUGCUUUAUACAAAGAGAUCUGAAAAAUGCUUACCAAUGUGACUUUCCUGUGGAAAUAUAAACCCCUGCUUCAACCAACACUCUUCCUGUAGAACAGGGUCUUCUCUAGCUUACUCCCUGGUACUGGUACAUUUUCUUUUGUGCCACAGCUGUUUCUCCCCACCCCACCUUACCCCUGCACCCCCUCCCCUAACACACAUACUCCAGUCUGUAAGCCAGGUGUUUAGGGGGUGGGAAGAUGUGGUAAAAUAAGCAGAGGAGAAAGUGGUAAAGAAAUAAAUGGUAAAAGACAUUUUAUGAAGAGUUCCAAGGGUCGAGUCUGCAUCAAUCUGCUUUAGUUCUUCCAUCAAUAAAAUGAAAUCCAAGCUGAUAAAGUCCUCUACCCAGAUAUGCUAUAUUAACUGGCUAAUUAAUGAAAGUAACUCACUCUUAAAAAUCCAAAGAAUGCCAUUAAUGCUAAGUAUUUUUUACACAGAAACCAUUUAAAGUAAUUAACAAAACUACAGUUGCUGUGAAUUAGAAAGUAAAUUUAAACUUAACAACCCAUUACUGGGAUGGCAAAAAAAAGCAGAACUAAUGGUGGUCUAAGCCAUUGUAGUGGAAAGUUUAUGUUGGUGUCUGGUGGUUUGGUUGUGCCAUUACAUCAAGAAGAUGUCUACAUGCAAUGAGCAGGUGGCUUGAAUUAUAAAAACUUCCUACAUAUUUGUUUUUGAGAAUGAAGUGGAAAGUAAAGUAGUAAAAGCAUCUAUACAUUGGAGGCUGAUGGACCUUGCCCAGGGCAAGGAUUCACUUGUGAGCCCCUAGGUCACUAGAUCAGCACUAUGGUAGAUUUUAAUGGAACAAAGGAAAUUAAUCAAGUGCUGACUGGCUGUAUUCUAGCUGUGACAAAGGGAAAGUCAACAACCAACCCCCAUCUUUAUACCACUGAACACUGUAUAAUUUUGUUUCUAUAUCCAAGAUGACUUGGUAAUCAAAGUUCCUAGUAGGAACGUAUGUCAAAAAGAGCAGAGCCGAUAGUUUGAAUCAAAUUUGGAGCCAGGCAACCUAGUUCUAGGGGCUCAUAACCCCAAAACUCUGUGGGCCUCUGGCAGCGAGAUGGGCAAAUAUUUCAAGUAUCUCACAGCCCCAUCCCUCUUGUUUCCCUGUGAAAUGUGGCAAUGGACAAAAUGGGAUGGAUUUAAUGCAUCCAGUAGCUUAAGUUUCAGUUACAGUAAUUCAUUGCAUAUUUAUGAAAUGAGGACUAAAUGAAGACGUAAUUCUGGACAAUGCAAGGUUACAAAGCUAAUCAGACAUAGAUCUGCUCUCAAGAAGCUUCUAAGCAAGCUUCAGAAAUAGACCAAAAAAUAAAUGCUUGCACCCAGCAUAAAUGUUUGGUCCAUUGACGGCAAUAAAGGAACGUUGAAUAGCUGAAUACAGGCAGAGAGGGUUGGGUAAGAGCCAUAUUCAAGGCAAACACACUGGGAAGUUGGAGUCAGAAGAGGGCACUUCUAGCUGGGAGGGCCAGGGAAGGUUUGUGGCGUACCUCAAGGGGAACCAAGCACAAAGAGUCAGGAGUAAGUAGAUGGGAUGAUGAGAAAAGAAAUAUACAGAGAAACAACAACAGUCACAAUGAACAAUGAUUAUUGCUUAUUUUACUGAGAGUUUUAUGUAAUGAUUACCUUCUGUCCUGCCAACAAAACCAAUUUAUAGAUGAAGAAACAAAUGUAGAGGAAUUAAGUGAUUUGUCCAUGGUCCCAAAGUGAUAGGUCCAGUAUUCCUGAAUUCAUUCAAUCAGUCAUUAAUUCAUUCAAUAUUUAUUGUCCUCACAAUGCCAAAAAUUGUUCUAGGUGCUGGAAAUACAGAGUGUAUCAAAACUGACCCUGUUGCUGUCCUCCAAGAUAUUGUGUUCUCCUGAGAAGAGACAAGUAACCCAUCUCAUUCAUUCAUUCAUUCAUUCAUUCAUUUACCUAUCCUAGAUAGUGAUACAGGCCAGAAGGAGAAUGCCACAUGAUAACUAAUACAUGUUGGGUGAAUAGUGUUGAGUGGGAGAGUGACUACUUUAGUAAGAGGGAUAUGGAAGGCCUGACUGAGGAGGUGUUAUAUGAACUGAGACCUGAAUUAUCAGAAAGCAAUAACCUUUCAGAAACCUGGAAGAGGUCAUUAUAGGCCCAUGGGGCUACAAAUGCCUUGAGGUAGGAACUUACAGGAGGGAAUGAAAGCAGGCCAUGGAAGCUGCUACAAGAAGAGAGGAAAAGGAGAUGACUUGGUGAGGUCAUGUAGGAUAUUAUGGAACUUGAAUCUUAUUUUUUUCAGGAGGAAGUUGUUGUUGGGUGAUAAAUAAGGAACUGAUAUGAUCUGACUUGUUCUUUCAAAAAGAUUACUUUAGCUGCUAUGUGGAACUGGAGCAAAGGAAACAGGAAUAAAAGCAGACGGACCUGUUGUGCUUUGCAGUAAUCUGGGUGAGAAGAUGAUAGUUGUGCCAGGGUUUCAGCAGUAAAUAUAGUAGUGGUGGUUGGGUUAGGGACAGGCCAAUAGGACUUACUGACACCUUGGAAGUGAAGAGUAAGAAAAAGAGAGAGAUAAAUAAUGGAAUCAGCUGAGAGUCAUCAACUGCCAAAACUUCCAGAAGCAGGAGGAAUUGGUGACUUAGUCCUGGAGGGGCCUGCACAGCACACCCCCAAAGAAAGCCUCAUUCCUCCAAACUAAAACAUGGCAAUGCAAUUCAUCUGCUCUCUUCAUCCCAGAAAGAACUCUGCCAUCUUCCCUACCCUACC